rnacentral:rRNA from 1 species
UACGAAGGGGGCUAGCGUUGCUCGGAAUCACUGGGCGUAAAGGGUGCGUAGGCGGGUUUUUAAGUCAGGGGUGAAAUCCUGGAGCUCAACUCCAGAACUGCCUUUGAUACUGAAGAUCUUGAGUCCGGGAGAGGUGAGUGGAACUGCGAGUGUAGAGGUGAAAUUCGUAGAUAUUCGCAAGAACACCAGUGGCGAAGGCGGCUCACUGGCCCGGUACUGACGCUGAGGCACGAAAGCCAGGGGAGCAAACGGG